CAAGAAUAUGUAAUAACACUAAUCAAGCACCCUAUAAUGCAUCAUGCUCAAUAUGCAUAAUUGAUCAACAUAGAGAUACUUGGACAUAAGGAGAAGCCCGAUUGCUUCGGGAUGACACCCCCCACCUUUUAUCGCGUUCCGAUUGCUCGUCGUCACUCGCAAUCGGCCUCCCGCGGCGCACGCCGCUCGGCUUGACCCAAUGCGCGCGCGACCACCGAACGAUCUCCGAUCCACGAUCUGGUAAUUAUAGGUCUUCGGUUUCUUGCUACGACCCUCAAAAUCCAACCCCGCGAUUUAUGGACGCCGC
rnacentral:lncRNA from 1 species